GAAUAAUGCCGACUGAUUAGUGUAGGAUAAAUACAGCGGCAUGCUAGAGUCUAAGAGACAGUCUGUAUGGAGGAAGCACAGUGGUAACACUUGGAUACACUGGGAUAUCCGCUGACCCGACUUGAAAGUUAAAGCCUGAUCUGUCGAACCCGUGACUUUCCCCGCGCUAAGAACACCUGGGUACGGUGGCUGGCUGGGGAACGUCGCAGGAGAGCUCUCGUCCGGCCCCUGACCAGUCUUAGCGCCCCCUCAAGUCUGUCUUUUCUUGUACAACUGGCCUGUUAUGAAAAGACAUUGACCAUGAAGCCUUCCUACUUCUGUCAAGUCCUCGUUGGUUUGCUGUGCUGGUCGCUUGUGUCGGUUUGUGCCACCCGCCAACCUCAACAGGUCAACAAUCGUGGGUUG